GUCCACGCCGUAAACGAUGAUAACUAGAUGUUGGGGGAGUUGACCCCCUCAGUAUCGCAGCUCACGCAUUAAGUUAUCCGCCUGGGGAGUACGGCCGCAAGGCUAAAACUCAAAGGAAUUGACGGGGGCCCGCACAAGCGGUGGAGUAUGUGGUUUAAUUCGACGCAACGCGAAGAACCUUACCUUGGUUUGACAUCCUCUGAAUACGGUAGAGAUAUCGUCGGCUCGCAAGAGACAGAGAGACAGGUGCUGCAUGGCUGUCGU
rnacentral:rRNA from 1 species